rnacentral:scRNA from 1 species
UCACCAACAUAGGGGGGUAUCUUUUCCCAAGC